rnacentral:rRNA from 1 species
UACGUAGGUGGCAAGCGUUGUCCGGAAUUAUUGGGCGUAAAGCGCGCGCAGGCGGUCUUUUAAGUCUGAUGUGAAAGCCCACGGCUCAACCGUGGAGGGUCAUUGGAAACUGGGAGACUUGAGUGCAGAAGAGAAGAGUGGAAUUCCACAUGUAGCGGUGAAAUGCGUAGAGAUGUGGAGGAACACCAGUGGCGAAGGCGACUCUUUGGUCUGUAACUGACGCUGAGGCGCGAAAGCGUGGGGAGCAAACAGG